rnacentral:rRNA from 1 species
UGGGGAAUAUUGGACAAUGGGCGAAAGCCUGAUCCAGCCAUGCCGCGUGUGUGAAGAAGGUCUUCGGAUUGUAAAGCACUUUAAGUUGGGCGGAAGGGCAGUAAGCGACUACCUUGCUGUUUUGACGUUACCGACAGAAUAAGCACCGGCUAACUCUGUGCCAGCAGCCGCGGUAAUACAGAGGGUGCAAGCGUUAAUCGGAAUUACUGGGCGUAAAGCGCGCGUAGGUGGUUCGUUAAGUUGAAUGUGAAAGCCCCGGGCUCAACCUGGGAACUGCAUCCAAAACUGGCGAGCUAGAGUAGGGCAGAGGGUGGUGGAAUUUCCUGUGUAGCGGUGAAAUGCGUAGAUAUAGGAAGGAACACCAGUGGCGAAGGCGACCACCUGGGCUCAUACUGACACUGAGGUGCGAAAGCGUGGGGAGCAAACAGG